CAGUCGAACGCUUCUUUUUCCCCGGAGCUUGCUCCACCGGAAAAAGAGGAGUGGCGAACGGGUGAGUAACACGUGGGUAACCUGCCCAUCAGAAGGGGAUAACACUUGGAAACAGGUGCUAAUACCGUAUAACAAUCAAAACCGCAUGGUUUUGAUUUGAAAGGCGCUUUCGGGUGUCGCUGAUGGAUGGACCCGCGGUGCAUUAGCUAGUUGGUGAGGUAACGGCUCACCAAGGCCACGAUGCAUAGCCGACCUGAGAGGGUGAUCGGCCACAUUGGGACUGAGACACGGCCCAAACUCCUACGGGAGGCAGCAGUAGGGAAUCUUCGGCAAUGGACGAAAGUCUGACCGAGCAACGCCGCGUGAGUGAAGAAGGUUUUCGGAUCGUAAAACUCUGUUGUUAGAGAAGAACAAGGAUGAGAGUAACUGUUCAUCCCUUGACGGUAUCUAACCAGAAAGCCACGGCUAACUACGUGCCAGCAGCCGCGGUAAUACGUAGGUGGCAAGCGUUGUCCGGAUUUAUUGGGCGUAAAGCGAGCGCAGGCGGUUUCUUAAGUCUGAUGUGAAAGCCCCCGGCUCAACCGGGGAGGGUCAUUGGAAACUGGGAGACUUGAGUGCAGAAGAGGAGAGUGGAAUUCCAUGUGUAGCGGUGAAAUGCGUAGAUAUAUGGAGGAACACCAGUGGCGAAGGCGGCUCUCUGGUCUGUAACUGACGCUGAGGCUCGAAAGCGUGGGGAGCAAACAGGAUUAGAUACCCUGGUAGUCCACGCCGUAAACGAUGAGUGCUAAGUGUUGGAGGGUUUCCGCCCUUCAGUGCUGCAGCUAACGCAUUAAGCACUCCGCCUGGGGAGUACGACCGCAAGGUUGAAACUCAAAGGAAUUGACGGGGGCCCGCACAAGCGGUGGAGCAUGUGGUUUAAUUCGAAGCAACGCGAAGAACCUUACCAGGUCUUGACAUCCUUUGACCACUCUAGAGAUAGAGCUUCCCCUUCGGGGGCAAAGUGACAGGUGGUGCAUGGUUGUCGUCAGCUCGUGUCGUGAGAUGUUGGGUUAAGUCCCGCAACGAGCGCAACCCUUAUUGUUAGUUGCCAUCAUUCAGUUGGGCACUCUAGCAAGACUGCCGGUGACAAACCGGAGGAAGGUGGGGAUGACGUCAAAUCAUCAUGCCCCUUAUGACCUGGGCUA
rnacentral:rRNA from 1 species